AUUCAUUAUCUCUCGAUUCAAUUCUAUCCAAUAAUUUACAAUAAUCUAACGUAAAUUAUCUAAUAAAUGAGCUUCCAAUUUUCAUAAUAUUAUUCUAUACGACAGAAUUAUAGUGAUUCUUUAUCGUAUUGUACUGUCUGUUUGAUUACAUGACUAAAAUAAUUUUAUUUUAAAUUUCUAGAUUUUAAUUAAAUAUGAAAGAUUGAAGAUUUAUUUCUAUAUUUAAACGAGGACACAAACGACUGCCAAGAUAAUCGAAUCGAAAAGAAAGAGAUACAGAACAUAGUAGAGUGCGGAAUGCAUCUCGCUUGUAAACGUCUUUGGAAAAACAAUUCCGGAACGCCGCGGGACGUAUUUUUGCUGUGAUCGAACGUUCCCUAGACACCUGUGAGAACACAGAGUCCGCGAUUUUCUUGCUCUUGAGUCUUCGCCACGAGAGAAAUCCACUCCCAUGCCAGCAACGUGACAAGUUCACUAAACUCAGCAAUGUUGAUCGCCACUGGCAAUUUUGUUGGAGAAUUUAUCGAAGAAACUAACUCGAUUUCACGAAGCAAAACAGAAUAAAAGAAAAAAAAAAGAAAAAAUAUAGCUACAAUUUUAACGAAUUCGAAGAGAUUUGUAAGACAAAAAAAAAUAAACAAUAAUCCUCGUAAGGGAGCAAUACAGAGAAGAGAUUAGGAGAUUCUAUACAAUAGAUGAAGAAAAGAAACUCAACUAUAUAACGAAGAACCCGAACAAGCGCGAAAUCAACUACGGGGAACUACCGUAAAAAAAGAAGGAAAGGAAGGACCACGAGCUGGCUCCUAUUGUCGAACGUAGACACCCUGCGGUGAGAGUGUCACGGGGAUAAAAUGACGCUUUAAUAAUACCGAUUAACUCGACAUUGUACUCCACCAGGCGACUUUUUCGGUUUACUAUAUUCAUAAAACAUCAACAAGGAUUCUAGUGUCAUGUCGUAACUACACCUAUUAUACGGAUGGAAUAGAUUUGUGCUACUGUCCGAAUCUAUUCGUAGAUAGUGUCGUUCAUGUUGUUGAAAGAUUUAGAGCAAACUAUUCAACAAAAUAUUAUUAUUAUUAUUAUUAUUAUUAUUAUUAUUAUUAUUAUUAUUAUUAUUAUUAUUAUUAUUAUUGUUGUUGUUGUUAUUAUAGACAACAAUUUGUAUUAAUUAUAUGUACAUAGAUUCACGUACUAUUUUUCUAUUCGAUACAAUUUUAAGUAUGAGAUUAUUGUUUAUUAGGUUUUCUGACAAUUUCUCAAAGACCUGCUGAGUUUAUCAAAAUCUUAUCUUGAAAUUAGAUGUAAACACAUCAAUGAAUGUUAUUUCAAACGUUAAUCUAAUUAACGCUGCAAUUGACGAACAUCGUCUCGAUAACACUCUUUAUGGGAACAUUGAAAAAAAACUUGUAUGGCUAUCAUUCACAACAUAACGUCUUAACACACUGAAAUUCGAAACACUAAUUAACCACGACCUCCACUAUAAUUUGUCUAUUCGAGGCCGCAUUAAAAAAAAAGGCCAAUGAAUUCUCAAGACAUCAAUUAUAUGCAACAACCAUGUUAUUAAUCUAAAUAUACUUCCCUUGUAAAUUAAGGAACAUCUCUCGAAGAAAACGUA